rnacentral:sRNA from 1 species
UAUCGCAGCCCUCUUUAGGGCGUUUCCUCCCUAGACUUGGGCCGCACUUCGGUGCGGCCUUUUUUUGUGCGGUGC